GAAGGAAAUUUGGGAUUGUGUGGAUUUCCGCUAGAAAAAUGUGAUAAUGGGGAGAGGCAAAAACCAACAGGAUCAAAAGAAGAUGAUUCCGAAUCUAAAAUUGGAUUUGGGUGGAAACCUGUAUUGGCAGGGUAUGGAUGUGGAGUAAUAUUUGGUGUUGUAAUGGGAUAUAUUGUGUUUAAAACAAGAAAACCUAUAUGGUUUGUGAGGAUGGUUGAAGG
rnacentral:misc_RNA from 1 species